rnacentral:lncRNA from 1 species
CUUAGAAAUAAACCUUGUGAAGUGCAAUAAUCGAAGCACAUGGGGCGUUAGGAGUUUUUUGAGUAUAUGGAACAUAUUUCAGGGUUUUAUGUCAUACUUCCGGUUUUAUGAGCCACAGUUUGAUCACCUGGCUCCAGUCCAACUCAUCACAAGCUUCAACGGGCAGCUUUCGUCAGUGAUGGAGCUGCAACAGGCAGCACGAAACGCGGAUGUGGCUCAGAGAUGCUGAAACAUGAACCUGUACGCGUUUAUCAAACGUCUUAACUACUGCAGCUCUAUUCGAGCCAUGAAUCAACUUGACGAACCUGAAACUAUGGAAACUGCCGUCUCAGAGCUGCGUGGAUGUAUUUUGUCUCUCUCCCCACGGCUCGGAGUUUCAGCUCUGCCCACCUGCAACCCACCCUCACAAGACCGAACGAACGCUCAUUAUUCCCACGCAGACGUCACUUUUUCAUUCACAGUACAGUGCACAUUUUCCAUUUUCAUUUUCAUUUACCGAAGCCGUCUACAGUAGGUCUGUUCCAUCCAAACCAGGAUAAGGAGGAUCAGUCAGGUCAAGUUCAGGCAGCUGAGGAAAUAAACAGUGGAGCUGAGUGUGAUGCAGUGGCGCCCUCCAGUGGUAGAAUUUAUAUAGUGAUUAAAUAAUAUAGCUGCUACGUCUGGGGAGUGUCUUGUUUAUUGAGCACUUGAACCAGAAGAGGAUGCUGCUCUCUUACUGAUAGAAGGACAGGGAGCCCAACGCAGGCGUUACCACAGGAGCUCCGUGGUCCAGAGCUUUGUCCCAGUGAAGAACAGAAAAUACACAAAUUUGUGACAAAUGGUGGUUUAACAGUAGUGCUGUUUUAUUGUAGUAAAAGCAAAGGUGACAUCUGUCUGUAACACCUUUAUAAGAAUUUAAAAAUGUAAAGCCUCCUGUUUUUUUUCGUUUUUUUUUUUGUUCUUAUUUUUAUGUUAUUUUUAUGAGCCCUUCACGCUCCACACUGGUACAGCUCUCAUAGACGGAGCUGCGGCGUGAGACGAGCACGUGCACCUGGACCGUAGAAUUUAGUGUCGCCACUGGAAAAGCGUGUGCUCUGUAGAAAACGAGCGCCUUGUACACGUCCAGCUGGUAGAAUGACGAACACCCUGCGUGACCUCUUAAUAUAAAGGAUUUCUAUUUAUAAGUCCACAGAAGCCACCCAAACUAUUAGCUUAGCAAUUAGCAAUUGAUUAACUAAGGCUGUGUCAUUAUCUAAAAGGACAAAGCAGAAUCCACCAUUUGAACCCAGAUGAGAGCAGUGACUGGUUUCCAACAUCACAUGUCCCAUACACUGCCUCGAUCUGCUGCACGAUGGCCUCCAGAAGCCAUGAGAGGGCACGGCUCCUGCGGUCACCAAGCUGCCAUUCAGCCUGCAGCCCUGCAGCCCUGCGGCCGCCGCAUCGUGCUAGCGGGGACAUUGCACGAGAGAUGUGGAGCGAGGAAGCGCCAGAGAAAGUGGGAGAAGGGAGAGAGAGAGCG